AUUGAACGCUGGCGGCGUGCUUAACACAUGCAAGUCGAACGAUGAAGCCGGAGCUUGCUCUGGUGAAUUAGUGGCGAACGGGUGAGUAACACGUGAGUAACCUGCCCUUGACUCUGGGAUAACUGCGGGAAACUGUAGCUAAUACCGGAUACGACCCUCGGAGGCAUCUCCUGGGGGUGGAAAGAAUUUCGGUCAAGGAUGGACUCGCGGCCUAUCAGCUAGUUGGUGAGGUAAAGGCUCACCAAGGCGACGACGGGUAGCCGGCCUGAGAGGGUGACCGGCCACACUGGGACUGGGACACGGCCCAGACUCCUACGGGAGGCAGCGGUGGGGAAUAUUGCACAAUGGGCGCAAGCCUGAUGCAGCAACGCCGCGGGAGGGAUGACGGCCUUCGGGUUGUAAACCUCUUUUAGCAGGGAAGAAGCGAAAGUGACGGUACCUGCAGAAAAAGCACCGGCUAACUACGUGCCAGCCGCCGCCGUAA
rnacentral:rRNA from 1 species